rnacentral:tRNA from 1 species
GCGGCAUAGCUUAGUUGGCUAGAGCGUCCGGUUCAUACCCGGAAGGUCGUAGGUUCAAGUCCCACUGCCGC